CCUACGGGAGGCAGCAGUGGGGGAUAUUGCACAAUGGGGGAAACCCUGAUGCAGCGACGCCGCGUGUGGGAAGACGGUCCUCUGGAUUGUAAACCACUGUCCCCAGGGACGAAGAUGACGGUACCUGGGGAGGAAGCUCCUGCUAACUACGUGCCAGCAGCCGCGGUAAUACGUAGGGAGCGAGCGUUAUCCGGAUUUAUGGGGUUUAAAGGGUGCGUAGGCGGAAUGCCAAGUCAGCGGUAAAAUCGCGGGGCCAAACGUCGCUCCGCCGUUGAAACUGGCGUUCUUGAGUUGGGGAGAGGUGUGCGGAAGGCGUGGUGUAGCGGUGAAAUGCAUAGAUAUCACGAAGAACUCCGAUUGCGAAGGCAGCAUACCGGCGCCCAACUGACGCUGAAGCACGAAAGCGUGGGUAUCGAACAGGAUUAGAUACCCUAGUAGUC
rnacentral:rRNA from 1 species